UACGGAGGGGGCUAGCGUUGUUCGGAAUUACUGGGCGUAAAGCGCGCGUAGGCGGAUCUGCAAGUCAGACGUGAAAUCCCUCGGCUUAACCGGGGAACUGCGUCUGAUACUGGAUGGCUUGAGAUUGGGAGAGGGAUGCGGAAUUCCAGGUGUAGCGGUGAAAUGCGUAGAUAUCUGGAGGAACACCGGUGGCGAAGGCGGCAUCCUGGACCAACACUGACGCUGAGUGAGCGAAAGCCAGGGGAGCAAACGGG
rnacentral:rRNA from 1 species